rnacentral:rRNA from 1 species
CCCCAGCGCCACAAGUGGUUAUCACGAUUAUUGGGCCUAAAGCGUUCGUAGCCGGUUUGGUGCAUCUCUUGCGAAAUUGUUCGGCUUAACCGGACAGCGUGCAGGAGACACGGCCAAACUCGAGACCGGGAGGGGUUAGAAGUAUUCCAUGGGGACUGGUAAAAUGGGAUAAUCCAUGGAAGACUACCGAUGGCGAAGGCAUCUAACCAGAACGGAUCUGACGGUGAGGAACGAAAGCCAGGGGAGCGAACCGGG